CUGGACCUUGCAGCGAACAGCAUGCCUGGCGAUCUUAGUCAAUGGAUAAUGAAGCAUUAUGAUCCAGAGAUGUCACAGAUAGUUAUUCCAGAGAGGGGGAAGAUUCCAGUAGAUGCUGCGAGUGUUCGGAGGAUAUGGGGUUUGCCAAAUAGGGGGAGAAAAGUCUGUUACGAAAAC
rnacentral:rRNA from 1 species